rnacentral:rRNA from 1 species
GAACGCUGGCGGCAGGCCUAACACAUGCAAGUCGAACGGACCCUUCGGGGUUAGUGGCGGACGGGUGAGUAACACGUGGGAACGUGCCCUUUGGUUCGGAACAACACAGGGAAACUUGUGCUAAUACCGGAUAAGCCCUUCGGGGGAAAGAUUUAUUGCCAUUGGAGCGGCCCGCGUUGGAUUAGGUAGUUGGUGAGGUAAAGGCUCACCAAGCCUACGAUCCAUAGCUGGUCUGAGAGGAUGAUCAGCCACAUUGGGACUGAGACACGGCCCAAACUCCUACGGGAGGCAGCAGUGGGGAAUCUUGCGCAAUGGGCGAAAGCCUGACGCAGCCAUGCCGCGUGAAUGAUGAAGGUCUUAGGAUUGUAAAAUUCUUUCAGCGGGGACGAUAAUGACGGUACCCGCAGAAGAAGCCCCGGCUAACUUCGUGCCAGCAGCCGCGGUAAUACGAAGGGGGCUAGCGUUGCUCGGAAUUACUGGGCGUAAAGGGAGCGUAGGCGGAUAGUUUAGUCAGAGGUGAAAGCCCAGGGCUCAACCUUGGAAAUGCCUUUGAUACUGGCUAUCUUGAGUAUGGGAGAGGUAAGCGGAAUUCCGAGUGUAGAGGUGAAAUUCGUAGAUAUUCGGAAGAACACCAGUGGCGAAGGCGGCUUACUGGCCCAUUACUGACGCUGAGGCUCGAAAGCGUGGGGAGCAAACAGGAUUAGAUACCCUGGUAGUCCACGCUGUAAACGAUGAGUGCUAGUUGUCGGCAUGCAUGCAUGUCGGUGACGCAGCUAACGCCUUAAGCACUCCGCCUGGGGAGUACGGUCGCAAGAUUAAAACUCAAAUGAAU